rnacentral:rRNA from 1 species
CCCUAGUAACGGGCGAGUGAAGAGGGAAGAGCCCAAGAUUGAAAGCUGGCGUCUUCGGCGUCCGCAUUGUAAUCUCAAGAAGUGUUUUCCGCUUCGGACCAUGCCUAAGUCCCUUGGAAAAGGGCAUCAUAGAGGGUGAUAAUCCCGUACAUGGCAUGGAGCGCCCGAAGCUUUGUGAUACGCUUUCUAAGAGUCGAGUUGUUUGGGAAUGCAGCUCAAAAUGGGUGGUAAAUGCCAUCUAAGGCUAAAUAUUGGGGAGAGACCGAUAGCGAACAAGUACAGUGAUGGAAAGAUGAAAAGAACUUUGAAAAGAGAGUUAAACAGUACGUGAAAUUGCCAAAAGGGAAGGGUAGGAGGUCAGAGAUGCGGCCUGGGAUUCAGCCUUGCUUUUGCUUGGUGUUUUUCCCAGAUUGCAGGCCAACGUCGGUUUUGGGCACUGGAGAAGGGUAGGAGGAACGUGGCACCUCUCGGGGUGUGUUAUAGCCUCCUACUGGAUACAGCGACCGAGACCGAGGACAGCAGCGUACUCGCAAGAGCGGGCCUUCGGGCACCUUUACGCUUAGGGCGUUGGCAUAAUGGCCCUCUACCACCCGUCUUG